GACAGAGGAUGCAAGCGUUAUCCGGAAUUAUUGGGCGUAAAGAGCUCGUAGGCGGUCUGUCGCGUCGGCUGUGAAAUCCCGAGGCUCAACCUCGGGUCUGCAGUCGAUACGGGCAAACUAGAGUAUUGCAGGGGAGACUGGAAUUCCUGGUGUAGCGGUGAAAUGCGCAGAUAUCAGGAGGAACACCGGUGGCGAAGGCGGGUCUCUGGGCAAUAACUGACGCUGAGGAGCGAAAGCGUGGGGAGCGAACAGG
rnacentral:rRNA from 1 species